AUUGAACGCUGGCGGCAGGCCUAACACAUGCAAGUCGAACGAGUGGCGGACGGGUGAGUAAUGUCUGGGAAACUGCCUGAUGGAGGGGGAUAACUACUGGAAACGGUAGCUAAUACCGCAUACCAUCGGAUGUGCCCAGAUGGGAUUAGCUAGUGGGUGGGGUAAAGGCUCACCUAGGAGACGAUCCCUAGCUGGUCUGAGAGGAUGACCGGCCACACUGGAACGGAGACACGGUCCAUACUCCUACGGGAGGCAGCAGUGGGGAAAUUUGCACAAUGGGCGCAAGCCUGAUGCAGCCAUGCCGCGUGUAGAAAGAAGGCCUGCGGGUUGUAAAGUACGUUCAGCGGGUAGGCGUUACCCGCAGAAGAAGCACCGGCUAACUCCGUGCCAGCCGCCGCGGUAAUAC
rnacentral:rRNA from 1 species